CGUAGGGUGCAAGCGUUGUCCGGAAUUAUUGGGCGUAAAGAGCUCGUAGGCGGUUUGUUGCGUCGGCUGUGAAAUCCCGAGGCUCAACCUCGGGUCUGCAGUCGAUACGAGCAAACUAGAGUGUUGCAGGGGAGACUGGAAUUCCUGGUGUAGCGGUGAAAUGCGCAGAUAUCCGGAAGAACACCGGAGGCGAAGGCGGGUCUCUGGGCAUCUCCUGACGCUGAGGCGCGAAAGCGUGGGGAGCAAACGGG
rnacentral:rRNA from 1 species